rnacentral:rRNA from 1 species
UACGUAGGGUGCGAGCGUUGUCCGGAAUUAUUGGGCGUAAAGGGCUCGUAGGCGGUUUGUCGCGUCUGUCGUGAAAGCCCACGGCUUAACCGUGGGUCUGCGGUGGAUACGGGCAGACUAGAGGCAGGUAGGGGAGAAUGGAAUUCCCGGUGUAGCGGUGAAAUGCGCAGAUAUCAGGAGGAACACCGAUGGCGAAGGCAGAUCUCUGGGCCGUAACUGACGCUGAGGAGCGAAAGCAUGGGGAGCGAACAGG